rnacentral:lncRNA from 1 species
AUGUGCGCUGGACACUUUCGUGCUCUCCCGCUACCUCGGUCAACGCCGAAGGGACGGAGAUGUUGAUUGGUGGUUGGCGAAACCGGUUCUGAUCGUUGCUAAAAUAACAACAUGGCGACCAGCAAACGAAAAUGGCGAAGUUCUGAAGCUGUGACAAAAAUACUUUCUGCAACGGUCUUAUUGACAACGUGAAACCGAACCUCAGAUUGUGUUUAGAGAGGGAUUUACACAAUGAGAGCACAUGUUCGAUCUUGGAGAAGAGAGGAUCAUCAUGCAUCUUGGCAAUUAUUACGAGACAGCAGCUUUAGCAAUGUGUGGCCAUCUUUCAUAAGCACUAUGAGCCGAACUUCAACACGAGCCUUUUGGGCUGCUGUGGUACUUGUCUGCAUUGCAAGUAAUGCAACAGUUUGGACAACAAUCUUUCUUAUUUUAGCUCUUCCUGUAUUCUUUUAUAUGACGUGUCUUGCAGCAACAGCCUACUUCUGCUAUGGGCCCAACUUUUCCGAUGUCAGGAAUGUUGAGUCAACCUAUUUUUCUUCACUGGACAAUCAUUUUUGGGUUGCAGAAAUAGAAGGUGAAAUUGUUGGUACCAUAGCAGUGGUGAAAAGAAGUGAAUCACACACUCCUGAUUCCGAGAGAAUCGCAAGUGACUUAUCAAUAAAUUCACCACAAGAAGAAAAAAGGGACAUGAAUGUCAACCAGGAGGAGCUGUUGUCAGAUUACUUUGACCACACUAAAAUAGCCUGGCUAAGACGCAUGGCUGUAAAGCAAAAAUAUCGUGGAUUGGGUGUUGCAAAACAGCUUGUCAGGACGGCCAUUGACUUCUGUCGUCAACAAAAGUAUAAUUCCAUCUUUCUCAUUACUACAGAAUUUCAUCAACCAGCAAGAGCACUGUAUAUGACCAUGGGAUUUAAGCAACUUGCUUUUCGUCCAUAUAAGUACAUCAGAGGACUUUUUAGCAUCUGGACAUACGAAUUUGAGAUAAAAUUAUGAUUAAUAUUAGUGUAGACAAAAGUGUGAAUUUAGGGAAACCAACAGAACCAGUAACUGGUGUCAUGCAUUAGAAAGUCAGCUCAGGAAAAGUAGUCUCAACUGGCUGAAUGAACUUGCUUCACCACUGGUUACCUCAAUAACCCUUCUUCUCCCUGAUCAUGAAUUUACUCUCAAAGCUAUUCCUACAGAGAGAAUAAUUGUAUCCUCUUCAUGUCAUUGUCCACCCAUUUUAUCAUAAUUGAUGGAUGGGUGCUGAGUUAAUGAGUUGAGACAAAACAUUACUUUAAAAAAUGUACAGUAAGAAAAUUGUUUUAUUCAUGUGCAUAUUGUGUGUGUGUGUGUGUGCACUCAUGCAUGCAAGAGAGAGAGAACUCUAACAUUUCAUGGACUUAAGGCCAUUCCAGCCAUUGCCACUUUUACAUGGUGAGCUGCAAAUAGCCAUUCUCUCAUGCAUUCAAAUAUUUAUCAAUUCAUACACCUAUCCUACAUUCAAUCUAUAUGUCCACUCUUAUUGGAGACAACAUGAUUCAAGACACAUUUGACCUGCAUAGCAACAUAAGCAUACAGGGACAGAGAAUAGCAAAUAUAAGUUUGCUUGUCACUUUUCUUGUCGUGAAACAUUUGUGCAUAAACUAUGCAGAAAAGAAUAUGAACUUUUUCAUUUGUAAAAUAUAUGCAGAAAGGACAUUUGUUUGUAUUCUCUGUCCUAUCCUAUACAAAACGAUUUUUGCAUGUAUUUAUAUCACUCACUCCUAGAUGGAAGCAUAUUAAAACAUCCAUGAAAUCUUCUACGUAAUUGAAAUACAGCUAUGGCAAGAGAGUGAAUUUAUGGGAUCAGUAUAACUAAAAACAUCUGCUGUGCUUUAUGUUUGCAGCUCGCCAUUUUUCCUGGGCGACAUCUGUCACCUUGAGUUUGAAAAUAGAAACAUUUUAUGGUCUUCUAAUCUUGGUUUAACUAUACCUGUUUAAAAUUCAUAGAUCCUAAGGCUAUUCUCACUUUUGUUAUCCAGUUUGUUUUGCCUUGUGCAUCAGGAUUAAAUAAUAAUUAAUGAGCUUGCUUAGGUAUAUGAUCUGUAGGAAUUUUUGUCAAUCGGGGCCAAAAUUAGAUAGUUCUCAUAUAACAGUUGAUCAGGAGUAGAUAUCGUCCAAGUUCCCCUUUUUUUAUAUCUGAUGGUGUAUGGAUUGGGCAUUCAGAUACUUUUUGCAUUUGUAAAGUUGUGCUUUUUCGACAGGGCUAUCAUCAUGAAGGACUCUCCAUACUUCGAAUGCAUAUUAAAGAGUUAGUUGUACUUGAGCAUCAAGAACAUCUGUCUACUCAUAUUAUCUAUAUCUUUUAGGGCUCUGACUGUGUUGGAGAUGGAAAUUUUCCCUUUGACUGCUAACUGCUUAGUCCCUUGAAACGAACUCAUGGUUGCUGUAAAUGUCAAACCAAAGUAGACAUAGCUGUUGACUACUUCUAGGAACAUUUCUCCUAAAAACCAUUUUUCCCAUCUUUCGCCAAAUCCUCCUUUUCUAAAGACAACUACUUUAGUUUUGCUACAAUUGAUUUCUGAUUCAAGCUUCUGGCAUAAGUUAGCAAGACAGUUUAUCUGGUUUUUGAGACCAGCUGGUGUACUUGAUAAAAGCACCAGAACGUCUGCAAAUAUAAGAAUGAACAAUUCAACAAGAAAAAAGCUGUAUAUCAGGUUUAUCUUUGCCAGACAAGGUAUUGGCUAUUUCAUUCAUUCUGGAUUUAAUAAAUACUCUUGAGUGGGUUACGUGCUGGACUGAAUCAUAAGCCAUCUUGAAAUCUACAAGCCACGCAUUAAGUUUAGCGAUGUUGGAGAAAGGAUGCCUGUGUAAAGCAGAAUAAUCUAUCGAAAAAUAUCUCUUAAAACAAAGCAUGAGUUAAGUGUGCCUGUGUGUGUGUGUGUUUUUUUCAUAUUAGCAUGACUGUUUCUGUAGAUGGAUGUGUUAACCAUUGUGUCUGCCUCAUGCUAUUCAGAGUUCUAAGUCACUCAAAUUGUUAUUCUCACCUAUGUUGCUUUCUGCUUUAAACUUACCGUACAAAUGUCAUCAUAUGGUCUUUUAUGAUAUUGUUUUUUCUUUACAUUAUUUUAGUGACAUUGUCCUAAAUGCACACAUAAAUAUUCACAAACAGGCACACACACACAUUCCUCACUCACAUGCUCUUUCCAUGCACAUUUUUGGUCUUUUUAUCUUACCCUGUUGGAUUCUUUUUUAAUAACACAGAUAAAUGUAGAUUAGGAUUAUGUGUCUUAGAUAGAAAAGCAUUAAAAAGAGUGCAAGCGAAGAUGAGGGGUAGUGUGUAUGUAAGUGCAUAUGUAUUUUUUUGUAUUGUCUCUUCCAUCAUCAAGUCAUAUUCUGAGUGCAGUGUCACUUGGCCAAUACACAAAUUCUUAUUGAAAGAAGUCACUUUUUGGAAACAGAGCUUAUGAACAAGAUAUUUGCUAGUAUAUACAAUUGAAUACUAAUCAAAUGCUAAUCAUCUGCCCAUCAAAUGGCAUUCUUUGGCAGGAAUACAAAAAUACGUUUUUCCACAUCUUUCACCUGUUCUGCCAAGUUAUGUAAAGAAAUUUGAUUGCAAACUUUUAUGUGUUCUACGUUAAAGUCUAAAAUAUUUUCAAGCAGCUGGUUACAGUGUAUCUACACUGUAAUUUAUGCUUUAGUCAGCAACUUUAUGUCCAUUGUUCUUUACUAUGUUGUGAAAUAUAAUUCCAUUUGUUUAUAAACUGUGAAAAACUUUGUGAUAUCCAUUAAACAUAUCAAGAAAGGAA